rnacentral:rRNA from 1 species
AGAGUUUGAUCAUGGCUCAGGAUGAGCGCUAGCUACAGGCUUAACACAUGCAAGUCGAGGGAAACGACAUCGAAAGCUUGCUUUUGAUGGUCGUCGACCGGCGCACGGGUGAGUAACGCGUAUCCAACCUGCCUUACACUCUUGGACAGCCUUCUGAAAGGGAGAUUAAUACAAGAUGUUAUCAUGAGUAAGCAUUUUCACAUGAUUAAAGGUUUACCGGUGUAAGAUGGGGAUGCGUUCCAUUAGAUAGUAGGCGGGGUAACGGCCCACCUAGUCUUCGAUGGAUAGGGGUUCUGAGAGGAAGGUCCCCCACAUUGGAACUGAGACACGGUCCAAACUCCUACGGGAGGCAGCA